UAGGGAAUCUUCCACAAUGGACGCAAGUCUGAUGGAGCAACGCCGCGUGAGUGAAGAAGGGUUUCGGCUCGUAAAGCUCUGUUGUUAAAGAAGAACGUGGGUAAGAGUAACUGUUUACCCAGUGACGGUAUCUAACCAGAAAGCCACGGCUAACUACGUGCCAG
rnacentral:rRNA from 1 species